rnacentral:tRNA from 1 species
GGCUCGGUAGCUUAGUCGAAUAGAGCAUCGGAUUCCGGUUCCGAAGGUCCUGGGUUUGAGUCCCAGCCGAGUCAC